rnacentral:rRNA from 1 species
GACGAACGCUGGCGGCGUGCUUAACACACGCAAGUCGAACGGAGUGGCGAACGGGUGAGUAACACGUGGCUGACCUGCCCUGCACUUCGGGAUAAGCCCGGGAAACUGGGUCUAAUCCCGGAUAGUGUGGGAUGGGCCCGCGGCCUAUCAGCUUGUGGGUGGGGUAAUGGCCCACCAAGGCGGCGACGGGUAGCCGGCCUGAGAGGGUGGACGGCCACCUAGGGACUAAGACACGGCCCAGACGCCUACGGGAAGCAGCAGUGGGGAAUAUUGCGAAAUGAGGGGAAGCCGGAUGCAGCGACGCCGCGUGGGGGAUGGCGACCUUCGGGUUGUAAACUCCUUUCACCAACGACGCGUUAGAUGAAGAAGAAGCACCGGCUAACUACGUACCAGCAGCCGCGGUAAUAC